UGCUGAGAUUCUCGCAGGCACCCAAAGGAGUCAUCGAGCUGCGUGCUGAUGGCUGCACGCUGCCAAAAUCCUCUGGAAUCCUCUCCCCUGCGUCGCCCCUUCCCAGGUCAGUGUCAGGCUUUGCCGCAGCAGGUGCUGAAACCCGUUCCUCCUCGCGACCUGCCUCCCUUGCUUUUCCAGCACAUUUUCCAGAGCUGCGGGAUGGAGAGGGACUGCGCUGCUGGCCUGAGAGGUCGACGCUCAGGUGGCUCCCACGCCUACAUCCACCACCUCGCCAGCCUGAGCACUGCCCCCCAUCCGUGGAGAUGAAGGGAAAGCCUGGUGGUCUUGGGGUCACUCGGGGUUUAGUUGAAAACACCCAGCUUGUGUUCACUUGUUCCCCCCCUCCUGCCUCUCCCGCUGCAAAACCAGUGUAAUUGGAGCAGGAAAUUAAACAUUUGAAGCGUUAA